GGGAACAUAACUUAACAGGUAGAGUAGAGGGCAGGGUAAUCCCUACUAAUUAAGGUUCGAUUCCUUUUGACGCAUGGUUGCGUAAUAUGCAGGUUCGAGUCCUGCUGUUCCUG
rnacentral:tRNA from 1 species